GAUGAAGAACGUAGCGAAAUGCGAUAAGUAAUGUGAAUUGCAGAAUUCAGUGAAUCAUCGAAUCUUUGAACGCACAUUGCGCCCGCCAGUAUUCUGGCGGGCAUGCCUGUCUGAGCGUCAUUUCAACCCUCAAGCAACUUCUGCUUGGUGUUGGGGAUCGGCCGUUAAACGCCGCCCCCGAAAUCUAUUGGCGAUCUCGCUGUAGCUUCCUAUGCGUAGUAGUAACAUCUCGCAUCUGGAGAGCGGCGCGGUCAUGCCGUAAAACACCCAACUUCUCAGGUUGACCUCAGAUCAGGUAGGAAUACCCGCUGAACUUAAGCAUACAAUAGCGGAGGA
rnacentral:misc_RNA from 1 species